GUGGUGAAGAUCAUCUGGCGGGCGUAGGUGGCCGUGUCGCGGAUGGCCAAGGCAAAGGCCAUCGCCCCGCGCAGUCCUGCAAAUGAUGGUCACACACACCAUGAAAGAAAUUGAUUUCUGUCAGACAACUGGGAACAUCAGCUGUAGCGUGACCAGCUUUUAAGGAUACAAAAGCACCCGUGAUGAAGAUGGGGCUGAAGAUGUGAUUCUGGAAGGUGAAAAGAGCCAAGCCCAUGUAGGAGAAGAUGAAGUUCUCAGCCAGGAAGUGAAGCACCUCGAAGAGCUGUGGAAGGUCGGGGAAUAUAAAAUCACCAUAUGGCCACUUCUUUAGAUCAGGAUAUGAGAGCGGUGACCACCCCGGUGGCGGCACCCAUCGUGAAGGAACCGCUGAAAAUUCCCAGGAAAACCCCGACGGACUUGAAGAAGGCCGAAGCGUCGAACGUGUGUGUGUUGGCGCCUCGGGGCUGG